AGAGAAUCCCUUGAGCCCGGGAAGCAGAGGUUGCAGUGAGCCGAGAUCGCACCAUUGCACUCCAGCCUGGGCAACAAGA
rnacentral:snRNA from 1 species